GAUGAACGCUGGCGGCGUGCCUAAUACAUGCAAGUCGAGCGAACAGACGAGGAGCUUGCUCCUCUGACGUUAGCGGCGGAGGGGUGAGUAACACGUGGAUAACCUACCUAUAAGACUGGGAUAACUUCGGGAAACCGGAGCUAAUACCGGAGAAUAUAUUGAACCGCAUGGGUCAAUAGUGAAAGACGGUUUUGCUGUCACUUAUCGAUGGAUCCCGGCCGCAUUAGCUAGUUGGUAAGGUAACGGCUUACCAAGGCAACGAUGCGUAGACGACCUGAGAGGCGGAUAGGCCACCUGGGAACGGAGACACGGUCCAUACUCCUACGGGAGGCAGCAGUAGGGUAUCGUCCGCAAUGGGCGAAAGCCUUACGGAGCAACGCCGAGUGAGUGAUGAAGGUCUUCGGAUCGUAAAACUCUGUUAUGAGGGAAGAACAAAUGUGUAAGUAACUAUGCACGUCUUGACGGUACCUAAUCAGAAAGCCACGGCUAACUACGUG
rnacentral:rRNA from 1 species